GCCGUUGCAGGACCAUCCAGAAUCGCUGCUGCAGAGUCCAUCGAAGCAACCAGCAUUGAAUCAAUUUCCGUUGCGGGACCGUCCAGAAUGGUUCAUUUUCCCUGCCAAGAAUCAGUGGAAACAACCUGUUCUGAAUCGAUCGUUACUACCUACAACGCACCUUUGUCG